rnacentral:pre_miRNA from 14 species
UUUUGAGACAGGGUCUCACAAAGUAGCCCUGACUGACCUAGUGAAAGACCCCCGGAGCGGGGAGACCCUCACUCAAGUCUCGGGAUGACUCGACCCCCCAAGAACUCACACUAGACC